rnacentral:ribozyme from 1 species
GCCAGAGGAACCCGUCUCUGGCGCUCUUUAAGGUGAGAAUCCUUAACAAUCCUGUGGGGCUUAUAUCUUGUGUUUAUAGUAGUGGUGUCACGAGUAUUAGUGCAGACGUUAAAAUCAGGA